GCCUAGAUAACAGAGUUAGAGCGUAGGUCUUGUAACCGAAAGGUUGCGGGAUCGAAUCCCGCUAGAGGCU
rnacentral:tRNA from 1 species